GAAGCCUUGUAUCGAAAAAAAAUCUUCACCUUCAAGGAUGAAAAUCUUGACAAAGGAGAAGAGAUCUCACGCCUUCUUGAAAACAAUUGAAAACUCACUGCUUUCCAUAGUCAUUUUCUCAGAAUACUAUGCCUAUUCUCCAGGGUGUUUGGAUGAGCUUGUGAAGAUUCUUGAAUGCCAGGAAACUAAAAGAUAAAGAGUAUUACCAGCUUUUUACCAAGUAUAUCCCACAGACGUUCAAGACUUGACAGGAAGAUUUGAGGAUGUACUUGCUCAACAUAAAGAAAAAUUCAAAGACUGUUUAGAAAAGGUAGAGAGUUGGAGCCGCGCUAUGAAGGGAGCGGCCAACGUUUCAGGGUGGGAUUCAAGAACUAUUAAGUACUGAAGAUCAACAGCUGCCACAGUAAGAGCCGCCACAGUAGUGUUCGGACAGAGCUCCGAUCGGAUCUGUCACUGACCAGAGUCACCUCACCGGUCUUUUGUAUUUUGGUAGGGCCCAUGUAUAGACUAGUAUUUUGGUCCAUUAUGUCUAGUCAUGAUGUAUUUGAUUUUGGACUUGUAAUUAAACUUUGAUAGUGAAAUGAAAACUUGUAAUUUAUUAUCUAUGAA